CAACCUAAGGUUAAGGGAAAA
rnacentral:rRNA from 1 species